UUUCCUACGGGAGGCUGCAGUGGGGAAUCUUGCGCAAUGGGGGAAACCCUGACGCAGCAACGCCGCGUGCGGGACGAAGGCUCUCGGGUCGUAAACCGCUUUCAGGAGGGAAGAAAAUGACGGUACCUCCAGAAGAAGCCCCGGCCAACUACGUGCCAGCAGCCGCGGUAACACGUAGGGGGCGAGCGUUGUCCGGAUUUAUUGGGCGUAAAGAGCUCGUAGGCGGCUUGGUAAGUCGGGUGUGAAACCUCCAGGCUCAACCUGGAGACGCCACUCGAUACUGCCAUGGCUAGAGUCCGGUAGGGGGGCGUGGAAUUCCUGGUGUAGCGGUGAAAUGCGCAGAUGUCAGGAGGAACACCAGCGGCGAAGGCGGCGCUCUGGGCCGGAACUGACGCUGAGGAGCGAAAGCGUGGGGAGCGAACAGGAUUAGAUACCCUUGUAGUCC
rnacentral:rRNA from 1 species